rnacentral:rRNA from 1 species
UACGGAGGGUGCAAGCGUUGUCCGGAUUUAUUGGGUUUAAAGGGUGCGUAGGCGGCCCUAUAAGUCAGUGGUGAAAGCCCAUCGCUCAACGAUGGAACUGCCAUUGAUACUGUAGGGCUUGAGUACAGACGAGGUAGGCGGAAUUGAUGGUGUAGCGGUGAAAUGCAUAGAUACCAUCAAGAACACCGAUUGCGUAGGCAGCUUACUAGGCUGUAACUGACGCUGAGGCACGAAAGCGUGGGGAGCGAACAGG